UACGGAGGGGGCUAGCGUUGUUCGGAAUUACUGGGCGUAAAGGGCGCGUAGGCGGCAUGGCAAGUCAGGAGUGAAAGGCCUGGGCUCAACCGAGGAACUGCUUUUGAUACUGCCAAGCUAGAGUGCGGAAGGGGCAACUGGAAUUCCCAGUGUAGCGGUGAAAUGCGUAGAUAUUGGGAAGAACACCUGAGGCGAAGGCGGGUUGCUGGGCCGACACUGACGCUGAGGCGCGAAAGCCAGGGGAGCGAACGGG
rnacentral:rRNA from 1 species